UAACUCGCAUCAAUUUUUUUUUUCAAAUGGAGCUCGAGUGACUUCAUUUACACACAUAAUUGAAAUUUUGAAGCACUUUUCUAAAAAGUUUUCUUUUCCCUCCUUUAAACCUUUUACUAAAAUUCCCCAAAAUUUCUUCCCUCCCAGCUAAUAUUAGAAAUUUUCAAGCUUUUUAAAUCUUCUAUGUCUCCCCCCAAAUUCACGUUUCAUCAAAUCAACUUCCCUUUGCAAACUAGGGCAACUCCAAUCCUAAAAUUUCUUCCAUCCCCAUCUCCUAACAUCAGAUUGCAGUCAAAUUCCCUCACCGUCGGGCGUCGUUGUUUCUGUUGUCGCCAUAGCGGAACUCGUCACCUAGAUACUAGAAUCGAGUGCUAGCAGCGAUUGGUAACAGCGAAUGAUUCCAUUGACGCUGAUUGGCGGAUAUUAGUCGGAUUCGGCAGAUGUGUCUGAAAGUGCAUUAACUGCUUCAAUUUAUGAACUCAUGGUGAUCCCUCCGUUACAAGGUCAGGGAAUCUGGAGAAUGAUUCUUCAAAGGAUCCUAAGAUUGCUUACAAAUAUAGGUUGUGAACUGUUUCAUCUCAAUAUAUACCCAAGUUGGAUCUGCAGUACUCACGCACACAAACUAAAGAAAGCAGUGAGCAAAAGGAUUGCGAGUAUAAGCGGCGUUCGGUGAUUCGGGUUCUUCUCAAGAGUCGAUUGUAGGUAUUCUUUUCCUGUAACUUGUAAUUGACUUCUUCUUUGUCAGA